AAACCGUCGGAUCACCACCACCGCCGUGCAUACACGCCCCCCUCCCCCUCCCUCUCUCCCUUACUCCUCCAUCCACCCCACACAUACACGCGCAUGGUUUUGCCCACCAAGGCUUUCGUACGACCUAAAAGCAUCCCUCACUCCAUUCCAGACCGCCUGCGGUGCUCUUGCUGGCGGCUGCGGCCGACAUUCUCUCUUACUCCGACUUCCUUAACCUAUCUUUCUGCCUGUCGGUGCCUGUGUGUGCUCGCCUUCGGCUCUGCGUCGUCUUGGGCGCCACCUCUUCAUCACGCCCCCCCCCUCCUCCCGCUCCCCCCCCUCCCUUCCCUUCCCUCCUGCACACCUUAGCGCCUUUUCUUCUUAAAGCCCGCUCCUUGCGCCCCCUUCCCCCUCCCUCCCUCCCUCCCCCCAUUCGCCAUUCUUGUCUCUCCCCCAUCCCUCGGUGUCGUCUGGCUGCUUUAUCAGAACACGGACGCGCACACGCACUCCCUCCUCCCUUCUCCAUUCUUUUUUUUCUCCUUUUCUAUUAGUCACAGCGCGUCCUUUAGCAGACGCCAGUGCUCUCUUGCGAGCGCAUCCCUGCCGCUUGCUCGCUCAUCAACCAUCGUGCAGACGCCAGGUGUGCGUACACGCCUACACGGACGCACGUAUUUGUCAAGUCGGCUCGAGUGUGUGAGUGAGUGUGUGCGUGUGUGAGAGUGUCUCCGCCCGUUCCCUGUUGGACGCGCAGGCUCGCGCCUGCACGCGAGUAGGCACUGGAAGCGCCACGCGUGGCGUCACCAGGCAACGCUGGCUGCCAUGCAGCUGUCGCCGGACGACUUUGAGGGCGCGGUGGUGCGGCCGCCGCUGCACUACCGCCAGAGCUGGCUGGAGUGGUUCUGGCGUGCGCUGUGCGAGACGGCGAACCCGAACACAAUGCACACGGAGUAUCUGACGCCAGCGGAGCUGGAGAAGCAGGCGAGCUUCGAGAGCCUAGACUACUACAAGCCCUACCCGGAUAUGUACGUCGAAUAUCUGCGAGAGAGUCAAGAGGGCCGACGGCACCAAUAUGCGCAGGGCGACGCGGCGGCCGCGUCGCCGGCGGCAGACGUGAACGGCGGCAUUUCACACGAGACAGACAGCGGGAGUGCGGGGCGCACGCGCUACAGCGUCAGCUAUCCCCUUGGCAGCAUGGCCGAGAGCUUCGCUCGGCUCCAGAUGGACACGGCGGAGCGCCACGUCACGCUGCGAUGGCUGUUGCACGUCUUGAUCGCCCUGUCCGUUGGUGUCGUCGCCACAGUUGUGUCGUACGCCGUCGACAUCCUCGAAAAGUACCGCGCCGAGGUGCUGUACGGCAUCAUGGCAAGCCAACGGCACCGGUCCAUCGGCAACCUUCAGGGGCUCUUGUACACGGUAAUCGGUUCCGUCGUGCUUGUGGCGAUAGCCGCUGGUGUCGUGGUGUACUUCGAGCCCGCCGCGUCGGGCGGUGGCAUCCCUGAUGUGAUGGCGUACCUCAACGGCGUCCACCUCCGCAAAGCCAUGAACCUGCGCACUUUUAUCGCGAAAGCCAUCUCGUGCAUCUGCGCCGUUGCCGGUGGGCUGCCCGUGGGGCUGGAGGCGCCCCUCAUCCACCUCGGCGCUAUCACUGGGGCCGGCGUGACGCAGGGCCGCAGUCGCACCCUUGGAUUUCAAACAUCGAUGUUCCAGGCUUUCCGCAACAACAAGGAUCGCCGCGACUUCAUAACGGCCGGUGCGGCGUGCGGCGUGUCCGUCGCCUUUGGUGCCCCGAUCGGCGGCCUGCUCUUCGUCAUGGAGGAGGUCAGCAGUUUUUGGGACCAGAGCUCCAACGGACAGAUCUUCCUCGCCACGAUGCUGUGCUUCACCUUUAGCACCAUUAUCAACUCAAUCGUCGAGGGCCGGCGGCUGCUGGGCUGGGUCUCGAACGCGGCCGCCGUGUUGUUCGAGGUCAACAUCACCAUACCGCUGAACCUGGUGUCCAUCAUUCCCUCGCUGUUCCUCGGCAUCGUCAUGGGCUCCUUGGCUGCCUUCUUCACCAAAGCGAACCUGAUCCUUAUCAAGUGGCGGCGCCGCGUGUUACGGCCAUACCAGUUCCGCCGCUUCCUUGAGCCGGUCGUGAUCGGCGCCGUCUUCUCCAGCUGCAUGUACGUCCUCUCCCUCGUCUCCCCGUGCGCCGAACUGCACGACAUCGGCACUGUCAACGAGACGGUGCAACAGUGGGGCACAGAGGGCGGCUGGCGCCUCUUCAACAACACCUGCACCAAGCCCAGGACGUACUCGCCGCUCGGGACGCUCAACAUGGCCUCUGGCAAGAACACGAUCCGCCAUCUCUUCUCGCGGCAGACGGCCGGGGAGUUCCCUGUGAUGACGCUGAUUGUGUACUUUCUCAUCUACUUCGCCUCCGCCUGCAUGGCCAGCGGCACGUCCGUGUCGGGUGGUCUUGUCGUGCCCAGCCUCGUGCUUGGCGCCGUCUUUGGCCGCCUGUUCGGUCUGCUCAUGUUCCAUAUCGGCGUCGCGAAGAUCCCUGGCGUGCCGCGCGGCUACGCGGCGGCAGAUGCGUGGAUGGACCCCGGUGUCUUCGCCCUCAUCGGCGCCGGCGCCUUCCUCGCCGGCACCUCGCGUAUGUCGAUGGCCAUCUGCGUCAUCAUGGUCGAGCUGUCGGCGGAGCUGCACUACCUGCUGCCUGUCAUGGUGGCGAUCGUCAUGUCCAAGACGACGGCGGACUGGUUGUGCGAGCCCCUGUACCAUCAAAUGCUGCUCAUGGACAGCGUCCCCUACCUGCCACCAAACAUCGUGAAGCCGGAGUUCGAGCAGCUGACGGCGGCCGACGUCAUGGCGUCUGAGGUGGUGACGCUGCGGAUGCGCGAGCGUACGGAGGUGGUGCUGGCCGCUCUGCGCGACAGCACACACCACGCCUUCCCUGUUGUAGAGGCCGUUCCGAUCGACGAUGCCGCCGCCGACGGCGAUGACGAGAAAGCGACGUCCCCGCGAAGAGGGUCAGCCAGCGCAUUCGCACUGCGCCAGCAGGACGGCACGAAGCGCGGGUCCGGUGAAGCCAGCGCCCCCCCUGUCGCCCCGGCUGGUGCGCUGGCGCCUCGAUCUGCGAUGAACACAUCCACAACAGCGUCGGCAGCGACGCAGAUGCGCUACAAGUUUGUCGGCCUCGUCACUCGCGAGGAUCUUCAGGUGUACUUCACCCUUCCCCAGCUGCAGGAGUACAGCGAGUCGCUGUCGACGACAUCGCCGAUGACCGCGGUGCCGCUGACAGCCAAAGACAGCGACGGCUUUGGCGGCCGCCUCGCGCCGUGCGUGCAGGCCAUCCGCCACCUCUCCUGGACGCAGUGGACGUGGCAGAAGAGUCGCCUUUUCUUUCGAACCUCGGACCGCUACGAGUGGGUUCGGACGCACAUGCCCAACGGUAUCCCGGGCGGGGCGGAGGUGAGGGCCGAGAACGACUCCUUAAUCAGCGAAAACCGCCUGCCGCCCGUCCUCGACCUCUCCCUUAUCGUGAACCGCAGCCCAUGGGUGAUCCCGCCCUUCUUCAACUUGCAGAUGACGUACCAGACCUUCCGCAUGAUGGGCUUGCGGCACAUGGUUGUCGUCGACGGUGACACUGUGGCGGGCAUGAUCACCCGCAAAGACCUGCUCGUCAACUCGCUGCGGCACAGAAUGAAGGAGCUCAGCGCGCGGCUGGCGACAGCGGACUCGGCUGCGCCGUCGCUGCCGCCGAGCUACACGAAGCAUGGGAUACUCGGCGACCAGGUGCAGCGGUCUCACAGCGAAGGCGGCAGGGACGAGGUGGACGGUGGGCUGCCGACGCGGGCAGGGGCACGCGCCAACAGCGCGGCCGCCCCACUCGAGUUCCGCGACUCCGCGAGCACCAACGACCGUGGUUCUGCCUCGGCGUGGAAGUCAUCAUCGCCGAAUGUCUUCGCCUCCGCAGGUGGCGAGGCGCCAACGAAGCAGCACUGGAGCUUUCUGCAGCCCACUGAAGCUGCGGCUGCGCCGACAACGUCGAGUGCCCCAAUCUCUUCGCCGCUGACAGCCCUCUUCGGUUCCACCUCGUCGCCUUCGACGGUGCGCGGCAGUGGCGGUCCCGGGUUCCCCACCGCGCCCAUGGUGGCGGCGGCGGCUUACAGGACGUCAACGUCGUCGCCCCCGCGUGUCACCGCGCACGAGCCGGGCUCUGAGGCAGCCGCUGCGCUGGCGUGGAACGGCAGCAGAGGCGUCGCCGAAGCCGACACAAGAGGCAGCAGCGUUGCUAGCAUGUUUGCGAAUGGACAUCAAGCACCCGCGACGCCGCCGCUGCCGGCUGAUGUGGCGUCGCUGUUCAAAUAGAACACGCUGUGCUCUACAAAGAAGGCGUUGUGAGGCGCACCCAGCUCCGCGCACAAGUGUGGGCCGCUGUGGUGUCGGCGUGCUUAGUCUUGUGACCGCUGGGGCGGAGGGGGGGCGCAGCAGCGUGUCGGCUCCACUUUCCUUCGCUCUCCUGCGCGUGCGUGCGCGCUUCUCAGCGUACUGCGUCUUCGUUGCUCUUUUGUGUUGCUCGAACAGGCCUCUUGACGAUGCUUGCCGAUGGAGACAACGUCGCCCACGGCGGCGCGGGCCCGACAUGCAGCUGGAUUGCAGUGCUACAGUCGCAGCCGCAGCCGCCCCCACCUUCUCCUCCUCUUCUGCAGAGAGAGGGCACGGCCGGAGAGCAGGCGGCGUGUGAGCCGGCGCGCCCGCCGCCGCUUCUUCUCUCCGCCUCGCGGCUCUUCCGCUUUCCUGCCUCUGCUUCUGUCUUCCGAAGUGCUGGUGCUGCCUACACACACACAC
rnacentral:misc_RNA from 1 species